rnacentral:rRNA from 1 species
CAGUAGCCGCGGUAAUACGAAGGAUGCAAGCGUUAAUCGGAAUUACUGGGCGUAAAGGGUGCGUAGGCGGUUGUUUAAGUCUGUUGUGAAAUCCCCGGGCUCAACCUGGGAAUGGCAAUGGAAACUGGACGGCUAGAGUGUGUCAGAGGAUGGUGGAAUUCCCGGUGUAGCGGUGAAAUGCGUAGAUAUAUGGAGGAACACCGAUGGCGAAGGCAGCCCCCUGGGCCAAUACUGACGCUCAUGCACGAAAGCGUGGGGAGCAAACAGGAUUAGAUACCCGCGUAGUCCCUGUCUCUUAUAC